AUUGAACGCUGGCGGCAUGCCUUACACAUGCAAGUCGAACGGCAGCACGGGGGCAACCCUGGUGGCGAGUGGCGAACGGGUGAGUAACAUAUCGGAACGUGCCCUGGAGUGGGGGAUAACUAGUCGAAAGACUAGCUAAUACCGCAUACGAUCUACGGAUGAAAGUGGGGGAUCGCAAGACCUCAUGCUCGUGGAGCGGCCGAUAUCUGAUUAGCUAGUUGGGGGGUAAAGGCCUACCAAGGCAUCGAUCAGUAGCUGGUCUGAGAGGACGACCAGCCACACUGGGACUGAGACACGGCCCAGACUCCUACGGGAGGCAGCAGUGGGGAAUUUUGGACAAUGGCGCAAGCCUGAUCCAGCAAUGCCGCGUGAGUGAAGAAGGCCUUCGG
rnacentral:rRNA from 1 species